rnacentral:rRNA from 1 species
UACGUACGAGGCAAGCGUUAUCCGGAAUUAUUGGGCGUAAAGAGCGAGCAGGCGGUUUGGAAAGUUGGACGUGAAAUUUUAGGGCUUAACCCUAAAGGGUCGUCCAAAACUCCCAGACUAGAGUGCAGGAGAGGAAAGCGGAAUUCCCGGUGUAGUGGUGAAAUGCGUAGAUAUCGGGAGGAACACCAGAGGCGAAGGCGGCUUUCUGGCCUGUAACUGACGCUGAGGCGCGAAGGCUAGGGGAGCAAACGGG